rnacentral:tRNA from 1 species
ACUCAUUUAGCUCAGUUGGUAGAGCAUCGGUCUUAUGAGCCGAGGGUCGUGGGUUCAAAUCCCACAUUGAGUA